UACGUAGGGGGCAAGCGUUAUCCGGAUUUACUGGGUGUAAAGGGAGCGUAGACGGCUGUGCAAGCCAGAUGUGAAAGCCCGGGGCUCAACCCCGGGACCGCAUUUGGAACUGUGUAGCUGGAGUGUCGGAGAGGCAGGCGGAAUUCCUAGUGUAGCGGUGAAAUGCGUAGAUAUUAGGAGGAACACCAGUGGCGAAGGCGGCCUGCUGGACGAUGACUGACGUUGAGGCUCGAAAGCGUGGGGAGCAAACAGG
rnacentral:rRNA from 1 species